AUGCCUCCGGGGGUUAAUGCCCCCUGGGUUCCCCCUCCCAACACCCAGCCCCACUCGCUGGGUCCCCCGCCCCUCCUACCCUCCGGACCCCCCCUCUCCAAGGAGGACUUCUACAGACAGAGGAGACUCCAACAGGAACAGGUAACGUCCAAGCUGGAUGAGUUCACUAAAGACUUUGCCAAAGAGCUGAUGGAAUACAGACCUGCUCCCAAGAGACGGAGACGCUCCUACUCCAGGUCUCGUUCCUACAGCCGUUCUCCGUUCAGCCGUUCCCCCUACUCCCGAUCUCCUCGCUCCCGCUCCAGGUCUUACUCGUACACCCCCAGCCGCUCCCGCUCCCGUUCCAGGUCUUACGGACGCUCCCCCUUCUCCAGACGCAACGGAGGCCGGGGAGGACGCAGCCGCUCCUACGGCCGCUCGCCACGGUCCCGCUCACGCUCCCGUUCCUACGGCUACCGUCGCUCCGGUUCUCCUCGCUCCCCACCGCCUUACCGAGGUGGUGGUGGUGGUGGUGGUGGGGGCUGGGAAGGAGGAGACGGAGCUGAAGGAGGAGGAGGAGGGGGGUAUCGGCCCAGGUCUCGCUCCCCGGGGGGCUACAGGAGGAGCAGGAGUCCUGGAGGGGUUAGAGGUCACCAUAAGCCCCCACCUCGAGAGCCGGCUCCUUACGAGCCUAAAGGCGGACCUGACCUGUCUCCCGGGGGCAGGGAGCGCUGGGAGAGAGACAGCUACAGACAGUGGGAGAAAGAGUACAGGGACUGGUACAACAAGUACUACAAAGACUACAGUACCCAGCAUGCCUCGGUGCACCACCGCGGUGGCCGGGGCAGCAGAGAGAGGGACCGCCUCACCCCUCCUCCCAGAGACUACUCCCCCCAGGGGCGGGUGAGGAGGGGUGAGAGAGGGGGACCUCCCGGACCCCACAGAACUCACCACGCCUUGUCCGCUCUGCCCUCUGCCUCCGUCAGGGGGGGCGGAAGUAAGGAACGCACGCAGGGGGGAACCAAAACGUCAGAGGGCGGAACUAAAACUCUGAAAGGGAAGAAACUGAAGAAAAAGAAGAACGGGGAGGAGCUGGAUUCAGCCGACCAAUCGCUGGACAGGGGAGACGCCACACCCGUCAGGGACGAGCCAAUGGAUGAUCUCCACACCCUGACCCCUAGCAAAGCCCCACCCACCUCCACCAAGGUCUCGACCAAUAAGGCAGCGCUGCUGUCCGGUAAAACCCCUCCCACCUCGUCCGGCCAAUCAGAGAAGAGCAGGAAGGAGAAGGGGGGUAAGGUGAAAGUAAAGACGGAGGGAAAGGUGAAAGGAGAGAAGGUUAAGAGAAAGACGGGAGGAGAGGCGACGGUCACAGCCUCUAAGAACAAAGAGUCUUCAGCCGCUAAACCAACCAAAGCAUCCAAACCAGUCAAACCAGACGAGCCAAUCAAGAGAGAGAAGGGGCGGAGCACCCCUACUGUUCGAGGAGGUUUGGCUAAACUCCCCCUGCCCCGCCCCCUCCCACCUCACCCCCACGACCUCCCUAAACACCUGGGCGACGCCCGCGGGGGAAGGAGAGAUCCCAUUCACAGUGUCGGGGUACGCCCCCCUGGUCGCCCCCUCCAGCCUGCACCUCCCUCCCCAGCGGAGAAGAGGAGGAGAGUGGAAGAGAGGGAAAGGGGGAGGGGGAUGGACAGGGGGAUGGGGGGGCCCCCAGCUAAGCUCCGCCGAGCCGAGGGUCCGUACCUCCAGAGAGGACUUCCUGCCAAGCCUUCCCUCCUCCUGAACCUGGCAUGCAGAGAGUCGGGUAGAGGAGAGGGUCUGCUCCCCAUCCCUGGUUCCUCACAGACAGGGAGGCUAGACCGUUUCCAUCCCAUCUCCAUCUCCAUCCCUGGUUCCUCCAUGGACCUGGGGAGAGAGGGGAGAGGCGACGGGCUGCUGCCCAUCCCAGGGAGCUCUGAGGCGGGCAGAAGAGAGAGUGACAGGGGGUCUAUCUGGCCUCUCAUGGGUCUGCAGGUCAAACCCUUCCCCCAGAGGAGAAUCAAACUGAACAGAGACCUGGGGAGGAACAGCAGUAUGGCCCGCCCAGAGGAGAGACCAGCUCCAGCUGCUAAUAUCACCACUACUAUCACCUCUACUGGAGAGAGACCUGCUGGUCCUGAGAGAGCAGAGAGGGAUGGAGGGACAGAGAGGGUGGCGGUGAUGGUGGAGCGGAGGUUGUCUGGCGAGAGGUCAGAGGUCAGGUCUGUUAGGUCCGAGAGGCCGUCGUCAGGGGAACGUUUGCCGGAGAGAGGAGGAGGAGGAAGGUCAGUCUCUCUAGACCGCAUGACCAUCGCGGAACGCUCGGCCAUCGCUAAGAAACCUGAUGUCACCGGGGAGAGAACAGAGAGCGGGUACACGCCGCCCGCUGAGAGAGAGAGACCAGCUGAGAGCUCCAAGGAGAGAGGGAGACCAGCGUCAGCCAAGACGGACAGGUCAUCAUCCAGGGAGAAGUCAGCCACCAGGGAACAGAAAGGAGAGAAGACCUCGUCCUCCGUAGACAGACCUGCCUCUACAGGGGAGCGAGCGGCAGGGUCCCAGAGAGAGACUGUAGCUGAAGACAGAGCAAUAGCAACAGCAGUGGUGGUGGUGAAGGAGGGUUCUGGGAAGACCAGAAAGAUCAGCAGAAAGAGUUCUGAGCCCACGACCCACCACUCAUCAGACCACUCUGUCACUUCAACUGGCAGCAGCAGGUCUGAGCCGAGCCAGAGCCAGGGUGCUGUGUCAAAACCCCGGGACCUACAGACCCAGAGGAGACCCAGUCCCGUCCAGUUCCCCAGCCCAGGCAGGGAGAGGAGGGACCGUGGGACCGGAGGAGUCCUCAUCCAGCCUCCACCCCGGUCCAAGUGGGAGAGAGAGGAGGAGGAGGAAGAGGAGCAGCACUCAGCGUCCAGGGAGAAUGGGGCGUUGGCGGUUUCCUCCUCCGUGCCCAGAGACGCUCUGAGGAGAGAAGUCUCACCAGCACCGCCUAGUGGCCAAGGCAGGGAGGUGCAGGGUAGUGUCUCUAAAACAGCCAACACAGAGGGGAGGAGAGGGAGGGAGGAGGGGACUAGAAGGAGGGAGGAAGGCAGAGGCCUUAAAAAGGGUCAGGUGAACUUUAGAAAACCAGCUAAGACCGAAUCCAGAGGAGUGAAGGAGGAAGGAAGAGGAGGGGUAGGGAGGGAGGAGAGUCGAGGGGCGGGGCCAGAGCCAAGGCGACAGCGUCUGUGUUCCGACCUGGGUAGAGAGACGGACGAGGCAGCCUUCGUCCCCGACUACAGCGAAGGGGAGGGGUCAGACGGGGAGCGAGGCAGUGGCCUGAGCCAUAGCCCCUCACACAACACCCAGAGCCCCGCCUCCCAGAGCCCCGGCGGCUCCCCUAGCAACCACAGCGGCUCCACGGCGACGGACAAGAAGAAGAAGAAGAAACACAAGAAACAUAAAAAACACAAGAAGCACAAGAAGCAUUCUGCCGACGUUGAGCCUCCCGUCGAAGGAAGGAAGGAACACAAACACAAGAACAAGAAGAAGAAGCACAGGAAGAAUAAAGAGGAAGAGGGAGGAGGAGGAGAGGCAGAGGAGAAGACUGGGCAGGAGUCAGCCAACAUCUGA
ensembl:lncRNA